CAGAACUGGGUGUGAGAGGAGAUGGGUCUCACCGUGUGGCUGUUGCUGUUGUGCUGGGGGCUCUCAGGUUUGUGCCAAGAUGGGCGUGUGGUGCAGGUGCCAUUACUUUUAGUCGCCCGUGUGGGGGCUGAGAUGUCCCUGAGGUGCCGCGUGACUGACAGCAGCUUGAGCAACACCCUGUGGUACAGACAAGGGGGAGACGGGCCGCUCACACUGAUUGGUCACACGUACAGGGGGGGCACCCCCAGCAUUGAAAGUUCCUUCUCUGGGACAAAUAUAACAAUUAGAGCCGAGAGCACCGACAGCUCCCUCCUCCUCAUCUCUGGUGUCUCUGGGCAACACUCUGGCACCUACUUCUGUGCCGGCAGCACCCACAGCGACACGGGGAGGGGGAGACUCUGUGCAGAACUCACACCCCCUAAACUGUGUAACUGACCCCCCCCCCAACAGCACAAACUGCUCCCCUACACACAGACCCCACAACUCCCAGACCCAACUCCCUGCACAGAGGAGCUCGUUCCUGGGGAGGAGCCAAUCAGAAUAAAGAUUUAUUAUCAGGGGGAGGGGCUGGGGAGCAGUUUGGAGAAACUGAGAGUAUUUGUGCCUCUGCCAAUCCCUGCACUUGUCUGUCCGUUUGUCUGAGCCGAAGGUUGGUGUGGGGGGUUAGUGAUGGCACCCCCCCUACAUCUCCUCCUCCACGUGUGGGGGCUGCACUUCUGUCUCUGUCUCUCGGCUGAUGUUGUACAAACCCCCGGACUGGUUGUGUCUCGUCCCGGGGCAAAUGUCAGUCUAUUGUGUGAACACAAGGACUCGGGUUUCCUCUAUAAGUUCUGGUACCGACAGGAGAAACACCGACCUCUGACCUUCAUAGGGUCCGUACACACCACCCAGAGGCCCAAUAUGGACAGAGAGUUUGAUGGGAGAAUAAAGAUCCAGCCCCAGUCUGCCCAGUCGGCUCAACUAAUAAUCUCCAAUGUGUCCCCCAGUGAUGCAGCGAUUUAUUAUUGUACCAGCAGCCCCCACAGCGACACGGGGAGGGGGAGACUCUGUGCAGAACUCACUGACACCCCCCACCCUCCCUGCACAACUGUCUCACCCCCCCAUACGUACAAAUGAUGUGAUCCAGAGAUAUUGUCAUGUGACCCAUGUGCCCAACAGACUUCUUCUGCUUCUGGGGGGUCUUCAGAAGUUCCCCAUAAGCGCAGCCCCCUGGAAUCUCUGGGUGUUUAGUAAAU